AACAAUACAUAGGAAGUGCAUAAACAGUAGAGUGUACGCCGGUAGGUGCGACGCCAGACGUUUCUGUUGUUUUGACAAACGUUUUUGGAUACUAUACACAAAAAAUAGAGGAAAAUCAUUAUGGCCAGAAGAAAAUACUCGUUGGCUAAGAGGCCGCUGGCAUCUAUGGUAUGACGUGAACAUCCGAGCUACUGAAUAGUGAUUACGAACAGAUGAGAAAUAUCAAAGUGACUUGAACCGAAUAAGGUAAGCGGAACGAUUAAUUGCAAUGUAAAAAAAAAAAAAAAGCAAGCGACAAGCUUCGUGAUCAGCGUCACGCCCGCAUGACUCGCACCUCAAGAGGAGGUCCUGGAUGGAUUCACUGGAGACCAAACUCCACUCUUAAUUAAUUCCGAUUCCCACCGACAGCGAAGAUCCGUCCACCUAGAGCGGAGAGGCCAGCCCGCAGUAAAUGUUGCAGCGGCAGAGAGAGCUUCCAGGACCCCGCAUUUAGGCCUGGACCCACCGCCGGCCUCCCGACCAUGAGCCGCAUCCGCAUUACGGCCAACGGCGUCUCUACGUCUAUGCUUCGCCGCAUCGUAUUGGUAACCGCGGUGAGCAUCUUGUUCGUUGUGGCCUUCUUCGGCUACUCCUAUAUCAGUGACAACCUCCACCGCGGCUUCCUGGGGCGGUAUAUGCACCACCCGCGCCAGAAGGUGCACCACGCCGUGGCCAACGUAAAGAACGUCAACGUCGUCCCCGACCAAGCAAAAUCUCACAUGGGAAACAUUUACAUUGACAACAUUCAUCACGAGUUUGAUGACUACUAUGAAGAAGAUUAUGACGAUGACUAUGAGGAGGAUGAAGAUGAUGAAGAGGAAGAUGAUGAUGACGAUGAUGAUGAUGAUGACGACGAUGACGAUGAUGAUGAUGAUGAUGAUGAUGACUAUUACGGUGAGGAUUAUGAUAGACAUGCGUUGAGAUAGUGGGACAUCUGCAUACAAAAAUGAAAAUCGAUUAUCAUGUGUCCGAGAUGUCAAACUAUACUGGCGAAACCUAGGUAAACCAGGCGCCAGGCAAGUAAGCUUCGUUCUCACACCUCUUAUAAACUGGAGAGCCUUCCAGUGGAAUCUACAGACAAAACUCGCCAUCUGAGUGAUAUAGGUUUUAAUUUCAUGGGCAAGCAGCAGAAGUCUGAAACGCCGUUAUCUGUAAUUUUGCGUGUGUAUGCGUUUGUGUGUGUGCGUGCGUGUGUGUGCGUCAUUCUCCCUUUCAAGCGAAGUUUUUGCAAAUUUCUGUAUAAUGAUGUUGUUAGCUUUAUGUGAUGUAUAUUAUGAUUUAAUUUAAUAGUGUGGACAUGUGAUAGAUAUAAUGUUAAUGAAUAAAAAGUAAGUUGAUA